UACGAAGGGGGCUAGCGUUGUUCGGAAUUACUGGGCGUAAAGCGCGCGCAGGCGGUCUUCCAAGUCAGUGGUGAAAGCCCGGAGCUCAACUCCGGAACUGCACUUGAAACUGUUGGACUUGAGUAUGAGAGAGGUGAGUGGAAUUCCCAGUGUAGAGGUGAAAUUCGUAGAUAUUGGGAAGAACACCGGUGGCGAAGGCGGCUCACUGGCUCAUUACUGACGCUCAGGCGCGACAGCGUGGGGAUCAAACAGG
rnacentral:rRNA from 1 species